CCUACGGGAGGCCAGCAGUGGGGAAUAUUGGGCAAUGGAGGAAACUCUGACCCAGCGACGCCGCGUGCGGGAUGAAGGCCUUCGGGUUGUAAACCGCUUUCAGCAGGGAAGAAGCGAAAGUGACGGUACCUGCAGAAGAAGCACCGGCUAACUAUGUGCCAUCAGCUGCGGUAAUACAUAGGGUGCAAGCGUUGUCCGGAAUUAUUGGGCGUAAAGAGCUCGUAGGUGGUUCGUAACGUCGGGUGUGAAAAUCUGGGGCUCAACCCCAGACCUGCAUUCGAUACGGGCGAACUAGAGUGUGGUAGGGGAGACUGGAAUUCCUGGUGUAGCGGUGGAAUGCGCGGAUAUCAGGAGGAACACCAAUGGCGAAGGCAGGUCUCUGGGCCAUUACUGACACUGAGGAGCGAAAGCGUGGGGAGCGAACAGGAUUAGAUACCCUGGUAGUCCACGCCGUAAACGGUGGGCACUAGUUGUGGGAACCUUCCACGGUUUCUGCGACGCAGCUAACGCAUUAAGUGCCCCGCCUGGGGAGUACGAUCGCAAGAUUAAACUCAAAGGAAUUGACGG
rnacentral:rRNA from 1 species